AACGAACGCUGGCGGCAUGCCUAACACAUGCAAGUCGAACGAGACCUUCGGGUCUAGUGGCGCACGGGUGCGUGACGCGUGGGAACCUGCCCUUAGGUUCGGAAUAACUCCCCGAAAGGGGUGCUAAUACCGGAUAAUGUCUUCGGACCAAAGAUUUAUCGCCUUUGGAUGGGCCCGCGUUGGAUUAGCUAGUUGGUAGGGUAAAAGCCUACCAAGGCGACGAUCCAUAGCUGGUCUGAGAGGAUGAUCAGCCACACUGGGACUGAGACACGGCCCAGACUCCUACGGGAGGCAGCAGUGGGGAAUAUUGGACAAUGGGCGAAAGCCUGAUCCAGCAAUGCCGCGUGAGUGAUGAAGGCCUUAGGGUUGUAAAGCUCUUUUAACCGGGAUGAUAAUGACAGUACCGGGAGAAUAAGCUCCGGCUAACUCCGUG
rnacentral:rRNA from 1 species